CCAUGCGAAGUGAAACAUCUCAGUAGCAUGUGGAAAAGAAAACUAAUGACUAGCUUUUUAUCUCAAGGCUGAUUCCAUGAAGCCUUGAGAUUAGAGAGCUAGUUGCAUUCCCCUAGUAGUGGCGAGCGAAAGGGGAACAGUCCAAACCAUAUUCAUGUUAGAAAUGUAGUCUCUAAUUUAUUAGUGGUUGCGUUUCUUUUAAAGGUUACAGCCGUUGUGAGUAUGGCGUUGCAAGACUAAUCGAUCGCUUCUGUAAAAGCGAGGGAAAAACGUGUUGUGUUGUCUAGUAGAACACGCCUGGAAAGGCGGACCAAAGAGGGUGAUAGUCCCGUACGCGAAAGACCACAAUUAUUUCCUGAUUGGUUCUUAAGUACGGCCGGACACGUGAAAGCCGGUCGGAAACUGGGUCGACUACGAUCUAAGACUAAAUACUUUUUGUGACCGAUAGUGAACAAGUACCGUGAGGGAAAGGUGAAAAGCAGCCCGGUGAGGGCGAUGAAAUAGUAUCUGAAACCGUAUAUCUACAAGGAGCGGAACACCGCAAGGUGAACCGCGUGCCUAUUGAAGAAUGACCCGACGAGUUAACGUAUGCUGCUUGUUUAAGUCUCUUUUGAGACGAAGACAUAGUGAAAGCGAGGGUUAAUAGCCCGUAUUAAUCAAAAAAUCAAUUUUUUGAUUAAAGGUGGCAUGCGUUAGACCCGAAACCCGGUGAGCUACUCAUGGUCAGGAUGAACUCAAGGUAAAACUUGGGGGAGGUCCGAACCCACUAUUGUUGCAAAAAUAGGGGAUGAACUGUGAGUAGGGGAGAAAUUCCAAUCGAACUGGGUGAUAGCUGGUUCUCCUCGAAAUAGCUUUAGGGCUAGCCUUGUGAAUAAACCACGAGAGGUAGAGCACUGGAUGAGUUGUGGGGGAGCAAUCCCUCGCGCUGAACCAACCUCCGAAUUCUCGUGGUGGUUCCACAGGAGUCAGACUGUGAGGUCUAAGCUUCACUAGUCUAAAGGGAAAGAGCCCAGAUCGUCGUUUAAGGUCCCUAAAUCAAAGCUAUAGUGUAAAGGAUGUUUCUGUCCUCAGACAGGUAGGAGGUUGGCUUAGAGGUAGCCACCCUUUAAAGAGUGUGUAACAACUCACUACUCGAGUUUCCUAUUUAUAGGAAUGGGACAGGGGCGCCGACAAUGUAUUGGGACUAAGCUUUGUACCGAAAACACGAGCUCUAUCCGCCUCGCGGCGGAUACGAGCGGUAGAGGAGCAUUGUCAGCUGCAUCGAAGCUGGACCCGCGAGGGCCGGUGGAGUGCUGACAAGAGAGAAUGUUGGGAUAAGUAAUAAUUAUGCAGGUGAGAAUCCUGCACGCCGAAUAUCCAAGGUUUCCUGGGCAAUGAUUAUCAGCCCAGGGUUAGCCGGGCCUUAGUGUGGUGCCAAAUGGUGCUACGCGAUGGACAAGACGGUUGAUAUUCCGUCGCUACUGUUAUGUUAUUCAAGGAGCGACGCAUCAUGGUAGUACAAGCUGGUUUUGACUAUACCAGUUUCUGAGUUCGUAGGAGUCUUGCUUUCCAGGCAAAUCCGGAAGGCAGUCCCGAUUUAUCGGGACGCUCUGAAAACUUGGAGAAAUUCCGCAAGGGAAAUUUGUGUGACCCAGGGUGCCAAGAAAAACUUCGUGAUCAAGCAUGAUAGUAUCCGUACCGCAAACCGACACCGGUGGAUGAGGAGAGUAUCCUCAGGCGAACGAGACAAUAUUUGUUCAGGAACUCGGCAAAAAAGCGGACGUACCUUCGGUAUAUGUCCUGCCCCGAGUAAUCGGGGUCGCAGCGACUGAUCCCCUCCCGACUGUUUAACAAAAACACAGGUCCGUGCCAAAGCUAAAAGCUGAUGUAUACGGGCUGAUGCCUGGCCAGUGUCAGAAGGUUAAACUUGCUUGCGCAAGCAGGUAAGCCAAGCCCUGAUGAACGCCGGCGGUAACUAUGAAGAAGACGUCGUAGUUAUAAAAUUUGGCUAUUUGCGGGAACAUCUGGUUAAGCUCAAAGUACUAGUUCGAAAGAGCAGUAAAAAUCUUUGAGAUACAGACAAUCCGCAGGAAAGACUCGCAAAAAAUCCUCAAAGGAGUAAAAUUCUAUGAGCGAUUCAUGGCUAAAAGCCAUAUCUCCGGAAAUUGGUCAUUAUCUGGCCGGUUUCGCGGAUGGUGAAGGAAGCUUCAACGUUUCUCUUCGCAAAAGACCAGACCAUAAAAUGGGCUGGCAAGUAGUUCCCUGCUUCAAUGUCUCACAAAGAGACCCGACAAUCCUGGCUUUGUUCAAAAAGCAUUUGGGUUGCGGCCGAUUUGUGACUCGCAGGGAUGGAGUGCACUAUUAUGUAGUGCAAAAUCCAACUGCUAUACAAGAAAGGGUUAUUCCUUUCUUCCAGAGGUUUAAGUUUCUAUCCUCGAAAAUGAAAAGAAACUUCAUGCUGUUUCAGCAAAUCGUAGAGUUGAUGAAUGGUAAAGGCCAUCUAAAUUCUAACGGCUUGCUGGAAAUAAUCCAGAUCCGAGAGCAAUUAAAUCUUGGAAAAGGCAGAAAAUGAAAGUACAGCAUUAAUGAUUAUCAAGGAUUUUUAAGCGAGAAUCCUCAGAGACUAAACGCCAAACUCCAGCUAGAUGCUGGAGAUGAUAUAGUCCGAUCUCAUGGGAGACCAUGAGCUAACAUAAAUGAACCGUCCUAUGGUAGAGGAAUUUACUUCAGCAAUGAAGGUUUUGCUGCCAUAGUAAAAUGUAGCUAUAUCGGAAAAACUCUCUAUUGGUACGAGACAAUUCCGAGGGAAGACUUGUUACGUAAUUAAUUACGUAAUUUGAACCCGUAGAGACUAUACGCUGCACUUUGAUUUCGGUCAGAGAAAAUAGAGUCCGUUCUAU
rnacentral:rRNA from 1 species